rnacentral:lncRNA from 1 species
ACCUGGAGAAACUGAAGAACGCAUACAGAUUCUGUGGUAUCGAGCCUGCUAAUCCCACCAAGCUGCACAUCAGAGAGCACUGCAGGACAAAAGUGCCACAUCCCAGAGAGCUGGUCCAAAGGGUGGAAGAAGUGUUUCACCAUUUCUAUCUGGCAAAGGAUCCCAACAACAUCUUCCUUUUCAAACCCUCAAUGUUAAAAGUGUGGUGGAUUCAGCGUAUCCACAUCCUUAGAGGCUGCCUGAGUGAUCCUGAGGUGGAGGAAGGAAUCCUCUACAGACACGGUGGAACCCUACAGCUGAAUCAUGUCAAGGGUGAUGGAGCUGCUGUGCCCAUUUGGAUCCCUGUCAGAGGCACUUCACAGCAGGAGGGGUUUCAUUUCCACCAGGCCCAGUGGGUAACGGGCAAUCGUGUCUCUCCUGAGUUGUUCCAGGCACAGGGUAUGACUGGUGUGGCACGCUGGAAUUAUCAGCGGCUGGUGGACCUGAAGCAGCCUGGGGUUGUCUUACCUGGAGUGUUUGACCCUGUUUUGAUGAUGGAGUUAAACAGGACAUCUAUAAGAGUGACAGGGCAACCCAAAUAUCCAGCCUUGCACAUCUCCAGCAGGGACACAGGAGAGAGGUUUGGCCUGCAAUAUGUGGAGCCAGGCUGUCGACCUGUGCCUCUUGACUUUGACAAACACAAAAGCAGGAAGACAGACCUAGGAGAUGUGGAGAUGCAAGAAGAGUCUUCAUCUGGUGUUCCGUUCUCAUUCCCAUCUCAGGAAUGCUUAAAGGAUACCUCUUCUGCGGAGACCCCUCUUGCUGCAGAACCAGAGGCUACCUCACAGGCUGUCAUUUUUCACCAGUUUCCUACACCAAGUGCUGUGACAGUGAAGGAACAAACAUCUGAUGAGUGUCUUUUAGUUGCAGGUAACUAUAUAAUACAUACAGGCGUCAAUGUGUGUAAUCUGUCUGCCUCAUCUAUGGACACAAAACACAAAUACUUAAGUUAGGUAAUUUUAUGAAUCUCUUUUAGAACUCUCAAGCACAUCACCACUGCCUGUAGCUGCUUCUCCCUGUGCUGCUCGCACUGGACCCAUUAAGACCGGUGGCCGAGUUUUUGUGUUUCCACCUGCAAAGGCUGUUCCUGAAGCUGUCCCUCUGGACCAGACAGGCGUUCGAGAAGAUGGUGAAGGACAUCGUAGAGAAGCAACAGGCAGUUCAGCAGCAACAACAAUUGCAGGCGCCGCAAAAAAAGCAAACCAGAUCCUGUUUAGCCUGUGGCCAGCCUAAGUCUCGAUACAUGGGUGAUGGCUCCUCAAUACAUUUCUUUUAUCAAGGUAGUGAUGUUAAAUACUUCUACUGCUCCAAGGAAGUCCAUAUAAUGGGUUCGUGGAAAAAAGCCCAUAUAAAUAAAUUGCCAUUGUACGCAUAGUGACUCGGAGGGAUUGUAGGGUGGAUUUGGAUCCAGUUUGCAAUGUAUUUAACUGGCCAAUGGGACGUCCCAAC